GAUGAACGCUGGCGGCGUGCCUAAUACAUGCAAGUAGAACGCUGAAGGAGGAGCUUGCUCUUCUGGAUGAGUUGCGAACGGGUGAGUAACGCGUAGGUAACCUGCCUGGUAGCGGGGGAUAACUAUUGGAAACGAUAGCUAAUACCGCAUAACAGUAGAUAUUGCAUGAUAUCUGCUUGAAAGGUGCAAUUGCAUCACUACCAGAUGGACCUGCGUUGUAUUAGCUAGUUGGUGAGGUAACGGCUCACCAAGGCGACGAUACAUAGCCGACCUGAGAGGGUGAUCGGCCACACUGGGACUGAGACACGGCCCAGACUCCUACGGGAGGCAGCAGUAGGGAAUCUUCGGCAAUGGACGGAAGUCUGACCGAGCAACGCCGCGUGAGUGAAGAAGGUUUUCGGAUCGUAAAGCUCCGUUGUAAGAGAAGAACGAGUGUGAGAGUGGAAAGUUCACACUGUGACGGUAUCUUACCAGAAAGGGACGGCUAACUACGUGC
rnacentral:rRNA from 1 species